UACGUAGGUGGCGAGCGUUGUCCGGAUUUACUGGGCGUAAAGAGCGCGCAGGCGGUCGUACAAGUCGCGUGUGAAAGCCCCCGGCUCAACUGGGGAGGGUCACGCGAUACUGUUCGACUCGAAGGCAGGAGAGGGAAGCGGAAUUCCCGGUGUAGUGGUGAAAUGCGUAGAUAUCGGGAGGAACACCAGUGGCGAAGGCGGCUCUCUGGGACGGUACUGGAC
rnacentral:rRNA from 1 species